rnacentral:rRNA from 1 species
AUGAAUCAAAACUUUCAACAACGGAUCUCUUGGUUCUGGCAUCGAUGAAGAACGCAGCGAAAUGCGAUACGUAAUGUGAAUUGCAGAAUUCAGUGAAUCAUCGAAUCUUUGAACGCACAUUGCGCCCGCCAGUAUUCUGGCGGGCAUGCCUGUCCGAGCGUCAUUU